UGGGUGUUCAAUAACCAUACUUGGAGACCA
rnacentral:piRNA from 1 species